GGGCAAUCUGCCCUGCACUUCGGGAUAAGCCUGGGAAACUGGGUCUAAUACCGGAUAGGACCUCAAGACGCAUGUCUUCUGGUGGAAAGCUUUUGCGGUGUGGGAUGGGCCCGCGGCCUAUCAGCUUGUUGGUGGGGUGACGGCCUACCAAGGCGACGACGGGUAGCCGGCCUGAGAGGGUGUCCGGCCACACUGGGACUGAGAUACGGCCCAGACUCCUACGGGAGGCAGCAGUGGGGAAUAUUGCACAAUGGGCGCAAGCCUGAUGCAGCGACGCCGCGUGGGGGAUGACGGCCUUCGGGUUGUAAACCUCUUUCACCAUCGACGAAGGUCCGGGUUUUUUCGGAUUGACGGUAGGUGGAGAAGAAGCACCGGCCAACUACGUGCCAGCAGCCGCGGUAAUACGUAGGGUGCGAGCGUUGUCCGGAAUUACUGGGCGUAAAGAGCUCGUAGGUGGUUUGUCGCGUUGUUCGUGAAAUCUCACGGCUUAACUGUGAGCGUGCGGGCGAUACGGGCAGACUAGAGUACUGCAGGGGAGACUGGAAUUCCUGGUGUAGCGGUGGAAUGCGCAGAUAUCAGGAGGAACACCGGUGGCGAAGGCGGGUCUCUGGGCAGUAACUGACGCUGAGGAGCGAAAGCGUGGGGAGCGAACAGGAUUAGAUACCCUGGUAGUCCACGCCGUAAACGGUGGGUACUAGGUGUGGGUUUCCUUCCUUGGGAUCCGUGCCGUAGCUAACGCAUUAAGUACCCCGCCUGGGGAGUACGGCCGCAAGGCUAAAACUCAAAGGAAUUGACGGGGGCCCGCACAAGCGGCGGAGCAUGUGGAUUAAUUCGAUGCAACGCGAAGAACCUUACCUGGGUUUGACAUGCACAGGACGCGUCUAGAGAUAGGCGUUCCCUUGUGGCCUGUGUGCAGGUGGUGCAUGGCUGUCGUCAGCUCGUGUCGUGAGAUGUUGGGUUAAGUCCCGCAACGAGCGCAACCCUUGUCUCAUGUUGCCAGCGGGUAAUGCCGGGGACUCGUGAGAGACUGCCGGGGUCAACUCGGAGGAAGGUGGGGAUGACGUCAAGUCAUCAUGCCCCUUAUGUCCAGGGCUUCACACAUGCUACAAUGGCCGGUACAAAGGGCUGCGAUGCCGUAAGGUUAAGCGAAUCCUUUUAAAGCCGGUCUCAGUUCGGAUUGGGGUCUGCAACUCGACCCCAUGAAGUCGGAGUCGCUAGUAAUCGCAGAUCAGCAACGCUGCGGUGAAUACGUUCCCGGGCCUCGUACACACCGCCCGUCACGUCAUGAAAGUCGGUAACACCCGAAGCCAGUGGCCUAACC
rnacentral:rRNA from 1 species